GAAUGCUGACAUAAGUAACGAUAAAGCGGGUGAAAAGCCCGCUCGCCGGAAGACCAAGGGUUCCUGUCCAACGUUAAUCGGGGCAGGGUGAGUCGACCCCUAAGGCGAGGCCGAAAGGCGUAGUCGAUGGGAAACGGGUUAAUAUUCCCGUACUUGGUGUUACUGCGAAGGGGGGACGGAGAAGGCUAUGUUGGCCGGGCGACGGUUGUCCCGGUUUAAGCGUGUAGGUGUGUGUUCCAGGUAAAUCCGGUUCACUUUAACACUGAGGCGUGACGACGAGGCACUACGGUGCUGAAGCAACAAAUGCCCUGCUUCCAGGAAAAGCCUCUAAGCAUCAGGUAACAUCAAAUCGUACCCCAAACCGACACAGGUGGUCAGGUAGAGAAUACCAAGGCGCUUGAGAGAACUCGGGUGAAGGAACUAGGCAAAAUGGUGCCGUAACUUCGGGAGAAGGCACGCUGACACGUAGGUGAAGUGAUUUACUCAUGGAGCUGAAGUCAGUCGAAGAUACCAGCUGGCUGCAACUGUUUAUUAAAAACACAGCACUGUGCAAACACGAAAGUGGACGUAUACGGUGUGACGCCUGCCCGGUGCCGGAAGGUUAAUUGAUGGGGUCAGCGCAAGCGAAGCUCCUGAUCGAAGCCCCGGUAAACGGCGGCCGUAACUAUAACGGUCCUAAGGUAGCGAAAUUCCUUGUCGGGUAAGUUCCGACCUGCACGAAUGGCGUAAUGAUGGCCAGGCUGUCUCCACCCGAGACUCAGUGAAAUUGAACUCGCUGUGAAGAUGCAGUGUACCCGCGGCAAGACGGAAAGACCCCGUGAACCUUUACUAUAGCUUGACACUGAACAUUGAGCCUUGAUGUGUAGGAUAGGUGGGAGGCUUUGAAGUGUGGACGCCAGUCUGCAUGGAGCCGACCUUGAAAUACCACCCUUUAAUGUUUGAUGUUCUAACGUGGACCCGUAAUCCGGGUUGCGGACAGUGUCUGGUGGGUAGUUUGACUGGGGCGGUCUCCUCCUAAAGAGUAACGGAGGAGCACGAAGGUUGGCUAAUCCUGGUCGGACAUCAGGAGGUUAGUGCAAUGGCAUAAGCCAGCUUGACUGCGAGCGUGACGGCGCGAGCAGGUGCGAAAGCAGGUCAUAGUGAUCCGGUGGUUCUGAAUGGAAGGGCCAUCGCUCAACGGAUAAAAGGUACUCCGGGGAUAACAGGCUGAUACCGCCCAAGAGUUCAUAUCGACGGCGGUGUUUGGCACCUCGAUGUCGGCUCAUCACAUCCUGGGGCUGAAGUAGGUCCCAAGGGUAUGGCUGUUCGCCAUUUAAAGUGGUACGCGAGCUGGGUUUAGAACGUCGUGAGACAGUUCGGUCCCUAUCUGCCGUGGGCGCUGGAGAACUGAGGGGGGCUGCUCCUAGUACGAGAGGACCGGAGUGGACGCAUCACUGGUGUUCGGGUUGUCAUGCCAAUGGCACUGCCCGGUAGCUAAAUGCGGAAGAGAUAAGUGCUGAAAGCAUCUAAGCACGAAACUUGCCCCGAGAUGAGUUCUCCCUGAGACUUAGAGUCUCCUGAAGGAACGUUGAAGACGACGACGUUGAUAGGCCGGGUGUGUAAGCGCAGCGAUGCGUUGAGCUAACCGGUACUAAUGAACCGUGAGGCUUAACCUU
rnacentral:rRNA from 1 species